rnacentral:rRNA from 1 species
UAACAACCUGGAAACAGAUGCUAAUACCGGAUAACAACAGAUGAUGCCUAUCAACUGUUUAAAAGAUGGUUCUGCUAUCACUCUUGGAUGGACCUGCGGUGCAUUAGCUAGUUUGUAGGGUAACGGCCUACCAAGGCGAUGAUGCAUAGCCGAGUUGAGAGACUGAUCGGCCACAUUGGGACUGAGACACGGCCCAAACUCCUACGGGAGGCAGCAGUC